ACGGCAGCACAGGGAGCUUGCUCCCGGGUGGCGAGUGGCGCACGGGUGAGUAAUACAUCGGAACGUGUCCUGUUGUGGGGGAUAACUGCUCGAAAGGGUGGCUAAUACCGCAUGAGACCUGAGGGUGAAAGCGGGGGAUCGCAAGACCUCGCGCAAUUGGAGCGGCCGAUGCCCGAUUGGCUAGUUGGUGAGGUAAAGGCUCACCAAGGCGACGAUCGGUAGCUGGUCUGAGAGGACGACCAGCCACACUGGGACUGAGACACGGCCCAGACUCCUACGGGAGGCAGCAGUGGGGAAUUUUGGACAAUGGGGGCAACCCUGAUCCAGCCAUGCCGCGUGCAGGAUGAAGGCCUUCGGGUUGUAAACUGCUUUUGUCAGGGACGAAAAGGACCGUGUUAAUACCAUGGUCUGCUGACGGUACCUGAAGAAUAAGCACCGGCUAACUACGUGCCAGCAGCCGCGGUAAUACGUAGGGUGCAAGCGUUAAUCGGAAUUACUGGGCGUAAAGCGUGCGCAGGCGGUUCUGUAAGACAGAUGUGAAAUCCCCGGGCUUAACCUGGGAAUUGCAUUUGUGACUGCAGGACUAGAGUUCAUCAGAGGGGGGUGGAAUUCCAAGUGUAGCAGUGAAAUGCGUAGAUAUUUGGAAGAACACCAAUGGCGAAGGCAGCCCCCUGGGAUGCGACUGACGCUCAUGCACGAAAGC
rnacentral:rRNA from 1 species